AACAACCGCCUGAAGGAAUAAUAAAUUUUACAAUGUUGGGCAGAUGCAGACGAAUUAUGGGUUGAUCGAAAAAUAGAAAAGAAAAACAUUGAAAAUGGUGGCUACUACUGUUGUACGCAAAAUGUGUUCAUGUAGUAUACGAUUACUACCUUUAUUGAGAUCACAUUCUUUGCUAAGAACGCCGAUGCUAUCGCGAUUAUUAAUUCAAAGAUUGACAUCAUCAUCACCUCAAUUCAGCAAAACUGAAGCCCAUAAUGCUCAGUCUAGCAACUUACCUCAUGCCAAUAUUGGCACCAUUGGCCAUGUAGAUCAUGGAAAGACAACACUGACUGCGGCUAUCACCAAAGUCUUGCAGAAGGAUGGGUUGGCCAAGUAUGUGUCAUACGAUGCGAUUGACAAAGCACCAGAAGAAAAGGCACGAGGCAUUACAAUCAACAUCGCUCACGUGGAAUAUUCCACUAAAAAUAGACACUACGCUCAUACAGACUGUCCUGGCCAUGCCGACUUUAUCAAAAACAUGAUUUCUGGAACUUCCCAAAUGGAUGGAGCCAUCGUGGUAGUUGCUGCGACAGACGGCCAGAUGCCUCAAACUAGAGAGCACCUUUUACUUGCGAAACAGGUUGGCGUGAAGCAUCUAGUAGUGUUUAUCAAUAAAGCUGAUAUAGCUGACAGCGAAAUGACCGAAUUGGUGGAGAUCGAAAUGCGGGAAUUAAUUUCCGAUUUCGGCUUCGACGGCAUAGCAACUCCAGUAAUUUGCGGCUCAGCUUUGUUGGCAUUGAAAGGCGAUGAGAGUAGAAUGGGCGUCCCAUCCAUUAGGAGACUACUAGCAGCCAUCGACGAAUAUGUUCCUACACCUCAAAGAGACGUCACAUCACCGUUCUGGAUGGCAAUUGACAGCGCAUUCACCGUACCUGGCCGAGGGACUGUGGUCACGGGAACUAUAAAGAAGGGAACGCUGAAGAAAGGUGAUGAAACCGAACUCUUGGGGCAUAAUUCAGCCAUCAAAACAGUGGUGACGGACGUCCAGGUGUUUCGGAAGUCAGUGCCCUUUGCAGAAGCUGGUGAAAACGUUGGUCUCUUACUGCGCUCCAUCAAACUGGAUCGGGUCCAGCGAGGUAUGAUGCUGGUGGCCGCCCAUAGUGCAACAAUUGGCAAUCGUUACCAAGCUCAGCUGUACCUGUUAACGCGAGGCGAAGGAGGCCGUAGCCGUCCGGUCAUCUCAGGCUACAUUCAACAAAUCUUUAGUGCAACAUGGAAUUUAGCUGUGCGGGUGGAUAUGCCGAGUGACAAAGACAUGCUUAUGCCAGGAGAUCACUCCGUCGUCAACCUCACCUUGCUCAAGCGAAUGGCCGUCGAACCCGGACAAACUUUCACGAUCAGAGAAAACAAUUACAAUGUUGCGACCGGCAUCAUCACCAAGAAAUUGAGUGAUGCCAAUUUAGUUAAAGGAGAUUCUCUGGACAAAAUAACUGUGGUCGACUAAUUGUCUUGGGUUAUAUAGUUCUUCGAGCAGGGAUCGUCGCCUUUAUUACGAGCCAUGAAUUAUUUUUUUAUAGUUCUUUGUGUUAUCCGGUAUAACCUAACCUUGCGUUAUGUAAUAGAAUAUCAAGAUUUAAUAAUGAAAGUCAGUACAACGACCCUGCUUCACUCGGCUACACUCAGCAAAUCGGAGGGGAAGUUGAUGCCUUAGGUUUGGAUCCAACAAUAAUUUUUAUUUAUUUUGUCAAUGGUCACAGAAAUUUUUCCACAAGUUCAAUCAAAUCAAGUUGCGACAUAGUUAGGUAUGACAGCUAUUGAUGAUUACAUUAAAACAUAGCCAUUAUGUAACGUUGCAGUGAAUUACAUUAAUAUUGCUUCAAAAUAA
rnacentral:misc_RNA from 1 species